rnacentral:rRNA from 1 species
UUCUGGUGCUUCAGCGGAGAGGUCACACCCGUUCUCAUUCCGAACACGGCAGUUAAGCUCUCCUGCGCCGAUGGUAGUCGCAAGGCAAGAGUAGGUCGGCGCCAGAAC